rnacentral:rRNA from 1 species
AUGGCCUCCCCCUCGGAUGCCAACUUUGCCACGAGCAGCGGCGCCUCGGCGGCCGCCAACCCUGUCCUGGAGGAUUUCUUCGACCAGGUAGAUCUAAACGAAGAAGAGUUCAAUGAUGUGGAGAUUGAUGAGGAGGAUCCCGGCAUCAAGGAAAGCGUGAGGUGGCUCGCCCUGGCUAGGGUUCACACCGACAAAACCUUCUCCCCGGCGGCCUUCUAUAAGGAUAUGAGGGCGGCCUGGAAUCCGGCGCAACCAGUACGGUUUCGUCCGGUUGGCUCCAACAGAUUCGUUGUCCAGGCCUCAUGCCUUGGGGAUUGGGAGCGGAUGAUGAAGCAAGGGCCCUGGCUCUUUCGCAACAUGGCAGUCCUGAUGUGCUCGUAUGAUGGUUUUACCAAAGCGUAUGAUGUAGUCUUUGAUCACAUGCCUAUUUGGCUCCAGAUACAAGCUACCGGAUCCCUACUGUAA